UUCCGACUAAGCUGUUUAAAUGGCUAAUGAAAGUGAAUAUUCCCGUUUACAUGCAGCUGUGCAAAAUAUCAUUUUUCCUACAGUUUUCCACCAGUG